UACGUAGGGUGCAAGCGUUGUCCGGAAUUAUUGGGCGUAAAGAGCUCGUAGGCGGUUUGUCGCGUCUGCUGUGAAAACCCGAGGCUCAACCUCGGGCCUGCAGUGGGUACGGGCAGACUAGAGUGCGGUAGGGGAGAUUGGAAUUCCUGGUGUAGCGGUGGAAUGCGCAGAUAUCAGGAGGAACACCAAUGGCGAAGGCAGAUCUCUGGGCCGUAACUGACGCUGAGGAGCGAAAGCAUGGG
rnacentral:rRNA from 1 species